UGGGGAAUAUUGGACAAUGGGCGCAAGCCUGAUCCAGCAAUGCCGCGUGUGUGAAGAAGGCCUUCGGGUUGUAAAGCACUUUUAUCAGGAGCGAAACGCUGUCGGCUAAUACCCGGCGGAACUGACGGUACCUGAGGAAUAAGCACCGGCUAACUUCGUGCCAGCAGCCGCGGUAAUACGAAGGGUGCAAGCGUUAAUCGGAAUUACUAGGCGUAAAGCGUGCGUAGGCGGUUUCUUAAGUCUGCUGUGAAAUCCCCGGGCUCAACCUGGGAAUGGCAGUGGAUACUGGGAGGCUAGAGUGUGUCAGAGGGUGGUGGAAUUCCCGGUGUAGCGGUGAAAUGCGUAGAGAUCGGGAGGAACAUCAGUGGCGAAGGCGGCCACCUGGGACAACACUGACGCUGAGGCACGAAAGCGUGGGGAGCAAACAGGAUUAGAUACCCUGGUAGUCCACGCCCUAAACGAUGCGAACUGGAUGUUGGUCUCAACUUGGAGAUCAGUGUCGAAAGCUAACGCGUUAAGUUCGCCGCCUGGGGAGUACGGUCGCAAGACUGAAACUCAAAGGAAUUGACGGGGUCGAUAGCUGUUUCCUG
rnacentral:rRNA from 1 species